GAUGAACGCUGGCGGCGUGCCUAAUACAUGCAAGUCGAGCGAACAGACGAGGAGCUUGCUCCUCUGACGUUAGCGGCGGACGGGUGAGUAACACGUGGAUAACCUACCUAUAAGACUGGGAUAACUUCGGGAAACCGGAGCUAAUACCGGAUAAUAUAUUGAACCGCAUGGUUCAAUAGUGAAAGACGGUUUUGCUGUCACUUAUAGAUGGAUCCGCGCUGCAUUAGCUAGUUGGUAAGGUAACGGCUUACCAAGGCAACGAUGCGUAGCCGACCUGAGAGGGUGAUCGGCCACACUGGAACUGAGACACGGUCCAGACUCCUGCGGGAGGCAGCAGUAGGGAAUCUUCCGCAAUGGGCGAAAGCCUGACGGAGCAACGCCGCGUGAGUGAUGAAGGUCUUCGGAUCGUAAAACUCUGUUAUUAGGGAAGAACAAAUGUGUAAGUAACUAUGCACGUCUUGACGGUACCUAAUCAGAAAGCCACGGCUAACUACGUG
rnacentral:rRNA from 1 species